UACGGGGGGAGCAAGCGUUGUUCGGAUUUACUGGGCGUAAAGGGCGCGUAGGCGGUCGUGACAAGUCACUUGUGAAAUCUCCGGGCUUAACUCGGAACGGUCAAGUGAUACUGUCGGACUAGAGUACAGAAGGGGCAACUGGAAUUCUCGGUGUAGCGGUGAAAUGCGUAGAUAUCGAGAGGAACACCUGCGGCGAAGGCGGGUUGCUGGGCUGUUCUUGACGCUGAGGCGCGAAAGCUAGGGGAGCAAACGGG
rnacentral:rRNA from 1 species